rnacentral:rRNA from 1 species
CCCUUAGAUGUUCUGGGCCGCACGCGCGCUACACUGAUGCAUUCAACGAGUCUAAAACCUGGUCUGAUAGGGCUGGGUAAUCUUUUGAAAGUGCAUCGUGAUUGGGAUAGAUGAUUGCAAUUCUUCAUCUUCAACGAGGAAUGCCUAGUAAACGCAAGUCAUCAGCUUGCAUUGAUUACGUCCCUGCCCUUUGUACACACCGCCCGUCGCUCCUACCGAUUGAAUGAUCCGAUGAAUACCAUGGAUUGAGAGUUCGAAUAGGUUCGCCUAUUUCAGCUUCUCGAGAAGUUGAGUAAAUCUUAUCAUUUAGAGGAAGGAGAAGUCGUAACA